rnacentral:rRNA from 1 species
UACAUAGGGGGCAAGCGUUAUCCGGAAUUAUUGGGCGUAAAGGGUGCGUAGGUGGUUGAUUAAGUCUUUGGUGUAAGUGCAGUGCUUAACGCUGUGAUGCUAAAGAAACUGGUUAACUUGAGUGUGGUAGAGGCAAGUGGAAUUCCAUGUGUAGCGGUAAAAUGCGUAAAUAUAUGGAGGAACACCAGUGGCGAAGGCGGCUUGCUGGGCCAUAACUGACACUGAGGCACGAAAGCGUGGGGAGC